GAGUCACCACUAAUAAAAGAAGUCCAUAACCCUGAUACAGGAGAAGGUCCCAAGUGGACACCUUUUGGGUUAUUGGAAAUAGAGAAAAGGUGUGUGAGUGAGAGAACGUAUGAGAGCCUUCUGUGUGCUGGCCAGCACGUGAGUGGAAAAAAGAAGGUAAUCCUAGGUGCGAUUGCAGUGACAAUUGUUGCCUUGUUUGUUUCCAUGUUAUUUCAUUUUGACAGGAAGAUGGGACAGGCCUCAUCAAAACCCUCCUCUCUCUCCCCCUUGGAAUGCUUGGUUAAGAAUUUCUCAGAUUUCUCUCGCAGGGCGGCCGGAUUUGGAGUCCAGGUAGAUGCCUUCACCCUACGAAAAUUCUCCUGGACCCUGGCACUUGUGCAGCAGUGCAGGAUGUAAUUUUCGGUGAACCAGGGCACCCUGAUCAGAUGCCAUACAUUGAAAUCUGGGCUGGUAUCAUUUAUGACAAACCUAAGUAUUUGCUAAAAUGUCAGAAGGGUUCCAAGGAAAAGGGAGAGUCAAA